ensembl:processed_transcript predicted gene 15270
AAACUGGCAGCUGCUGUUACAGCAUCUCUCAUUCUAGCCAGACAGCUCCAUGGUUAGAUAUUUCUGGAGACAACGGGCCUCUAAUCACACAGAAGGUCAGCCUCACAGGGCCUGACCAUGCAGAGGCGACUCUGCUUCUCCAGUGUGCAGAAGGUAUUGUCAUUGGUAACCCGGGUGGAGAUGCCCAUCCCACAGGUCUUAGAACAGGCGCUCCACUCUGUGGUCUGGACCAGGCAGUUGGCUCGCAUCAUGGUUGGGUCUGGGCCAAAUGUGUCUUCCAGUCGGUAGGCUGUGAGAGCACAACACACAAACACAAGUCCCGGGGCUUACCCGGGUGCAGAGGGCGAGGAGCACCAAGGCGAUGGGACCUGCGACGGAGGCGAGCAUGGUCGGGGCGCGGCGGGAGGACGCACAGCGGAGUGCAGAGGCGACGAGUGGCGUGGCCGGAGCCUGGACUCGGACAGGGGAGGAGGUUGGUGUCUGGACGCUCCAGGCGGUGGCGUCUGGGGUUGUCGGCUGGGCUGGGGCUGCUGCCGUCUGGAGGAGAUCGGUCUCCUGGGGUCGGAGCUGGAGUGGGUCUGGCUGAGUCUUCUUGGAGAGAAGAGCUGUGUGAGACUAGGCGGGCGGGCGCUGGCUUUUAUACGCUCCCGGGAGCCGGCUCGCCAAAGAACUGAAUGGAGUCCUACACAAACAGGGACAUUCCUCACAUUCCUCCCCACCUUCCUGCCUCAUCAACUCACACCGGAUUGAUCCUGACCCCUUGACACUCCACAUUCCUCCGUCUGAAAAAGCUGGCACACUUUAGCUCGCCCGGAAAAAAAAAAGAGGCGCUGUGUUUCCAGCACAACACCAAGAAGUAAAACUU